rnacentral:rRNA from 1 species
GCCUAAAGCGUCCGUAGCCGGCUUUGUAAGUUUUCGGUUAAAUCUAUAUGCUCAACAUAUAGGCUGCCGGGAAUACUGCAAAGCUAGGGAGUGGGAGAGGUAGACGGUACUCCGUAGGAAGGGGUAAAAUCCUUUGAUCUAUGGAUGACCACCUGUGGCGAAGGCGGUCUACCAGAACACGUUCGACGGUGAGGGAUGAAAGCUGGGGGAGCAAACCGGAUUAGAUACCCGGGUAGUCCCAGCUGUAAACUAUGCAAACUCAGUGAUGCAUUGGCUUGUGGCCAGUGCAGUGCCGCAGGGAAGCCGUUAAGUUUGCCGCCUGGGAAGUACGUACGCAAGUAUGAAACUUAAAGGAAUUGGCGGGGGAGCACCACAAGGGGUGAAGCCUGCGGUUCAAUUGGAGUCAACGCCAGAAAUCUUACCCGGAGAGACAGCAGAAUGAAGGUCAAGUUGAAGCCUUUACCAGACAAGCUGAGAAGUGGUGCAUGGCCGUCGCCAGCUCGUGCCGUGAGGUGUCCUGUUAAGUCAGGUAACGAGCGAGAUCCUUGCCUCUAGUUGCUACCAUUACUCUCAGGAGUAGUGGGGCGAAUUAGCGGGACUGCCGUAGUUAAUACGGAGGAAGGAGAGGGCCACGGCAGGUCAGUAUGCCCCGAA